rnacentral:ncRNA from 1 species
GUAAAUGCAGUUAAUGGCAGCAUUAACGUGAGUGCAAAAAAUAAUGCUAUCGUACUGGGAAGAACUUUUUUGAUAACCAUAGCGAUCUCCUGGGAUGCAAGGCCAUAAAAUCAGCCGCCUUCUUUUGUUUUUAUUAAAUGUUGAAAUGCAAUUUAAAUGCCAGGCGUGAAACCUAGGACAACCAGUCAAGCGGGGGCACCGCUUUUCCUCUUAGUCUUAUUUCAAAGUAUAGACCGUUUUGUUUAAUUCCACCGCUAUGCCCC